UCCACGUAGCGGUUUUGAACUUGCGUGCACGCGGCGUCCACGCAUUUGCGGCAGGAAGUACCCAACAUCACAUAGAAUCAUGCACACGCACUUGCGUUAACGCGGCGUCGACUCGCGUCUCAUUUGCGGCGAAAGUUACCGCAAAGUCACCGCUUUUCCCCACAGGAACGCAGCGUGCACGCGAGUAGUUUUUGACAUUUCUCUAUUCUUUUUCUUUCCAACAAGAUUUCUAAUGGGAAAAUCUGCAGAAAGAAUCUGUCAGAGCGAAAUCAAAACAAACAAAAAUACUUCGCAAAUCAGUUCAUUUUGGUUUCGCAAAUUAGUUUGCAAAUAACAAAACGUUUCAAAUCUAACUUUUUUAAAUAAUAGUGCUAGUAAUAGUUCGGAGCAGCAAAUGUUUCUUUCGCUCCUAUGUUAAUACCAGCCGUGAUCAACACACCUUUGGAAAGAAGUGACAAGCAAACAUCCCAGGCUGGCGAAUAGUGUUAAAGUCAACCGAAAUAUGUGUGCGAUAGUGACGUUGAUUGUACCAACUUUAUCAGAAUAAAUUGAUUUCCGAACAGACAGCGAUGUGACAGUUUUUGACUGAAUGACGGAGCAGACGAAAUUCAACCAACAAAGUGUAUUCCGCGGAACCCUACACCAAGGCAGGCGAUACCAGUUCCAUGGGAAGAAUAAUAAAUGAAUGUUGACGGAAGGAUGUCGUCAAACAAUGUGGAUUGCGAUUGCAAAAAGAAACGGGACCACAUGAUGAGAUGGUGGCGAGCCACAGUAAGACUCCGGGAUCUGUGCGACUCUUCUAGUGUUGUGGGGCAACGCUAUUGCGGUCGAACAAAAUAAUGAUUCGUCCCUAUCUAGCCGAUAUAUUAAAUGAUUAAAGAAUCGUACCC